CACUGUUGCCUCACACCUCUGGGACCCGGGUUCAAGUCUCCGCCUGGGUCACAUGUGUGUGGAGUUUGCAUGUUCUCCCCAUGUCGUCGUGGGGUUUCCUCCGGGUACUCCGGUUUCCCCCCACAGUCCAAAAACAUGCUGAGGCUAAUUGGACUUGCUAAAUUGCCUGUAGGUGUGCAUGUGUGAGUGAAUGGUGUGUGAGUGUGCCCCCCCAUACUGGGUUAUGCCCAUUGCUUCUGGGAUCGGGCUCCCGACCCCCCGCGACCCAGUAGGAUAACUUGUUUGGAAAAUGGAUGGAUGAAUUCAUCAUGUACAUGCAGAGAAAUUUACGUGGUUACGUGGUUCUCUGAAGUUACGAACAUUUGCUGAAUCCGACAUGGUACACUCAUAAGAGCCCGUCUUACCGAAAAAAGUAAGAGGAAUUUGAGAUCAGACUACAAAAGUAUUCUUGCAUGAAGCCCAAUGUCACCAGUUAACACUAGGACUCACAGGUACAUGGAGAUUCUUCCUGUACCUCCUAUCCUGCUGGGGGUCCCCCUGCUGCUUCCUCCCAGGAUCACCUGCAGGUUGUCAACUUGGAUACGACCUUCCAGAUUGCGACUCACAUUUUUCACCUGCCUACAAGAGGAACUAAAGUGGGACUGAGGUUCACGAAUCAAUCACAGUUCUUGUUAAUUCCAGCUAACCCUCCACAGGUCCCUGAAAGCACUCACCAUACCCCUUCAGUCUCUUCCCGUAACAGAUGAAUGAGGUCACCGCUCUUGAUGAUGAGGUCAUCUGGCCCGUACUGAUGACAAUCCUCCACAGCCCUGUACUUGCCUGGGACCUAAAAAACGAAGAAGCACAGGUUCAAGCAUUAUUUUAUCGUUAAUUGUACCGGACAAAUAAUGGAAUCGCUGGGGCCCCAGUAUCAACAAAAUAUGUGGGAGGAAAAUAGCUUUUAAAAAUAAGUGAAAUUCUGGUGUUAAACAGAACAAUAAGAAUAUUUUAUUACUAAUGUAAUAACAUAAAACUGUGCUCUCAUGAUAAGGUCAGGCUACUAAGGCAUAAAAACCAUUUUUUCAUUGUACAACUGACUAAAAUUGUGAACUGUUCUGAAAAUAUACUUAUGAUUUAAUAAAUACAUCCUCUCCUUGUUAA